rnacentral:rRNA from 1 species
UACGUAGGGUGCGAGCGUUGUCCGGAAUUAUUGGGCGUAAAGCGCUUGUAGGCGGCUUGUUAAGUUCCGUGUGAAAUCCCCAGGCUUAACCUGGGAAGUGCGCGGAAAACUGGCGAGCUUGAGUGCCGGAGAGGGUCGCGGAAUUCCCGGUGUAGAGGUGAAAUUCGUAGAUAUCGGGAGGAACACCAGUGGCGAAGGGCGGC